rnacentral:rRNA from 1 species
GACGGAGGGGGCUAGCGUUGUUCGGAAUUACUGGGCGUAAAGCGCACGUAGGCGGCCUUUCAAGUCAGAUGUGAAAGCCCCGGGCUUAACCCGGGAAUUGCAUUUGAUACUGUUGGGCUUGAGACCGGGAGAGGAUAGCGGAAUUCCCAGUGUAGAGGUGAAAUGCGUAGAGAUCGGGAAGAACAUCGGUGGCGAAGGCGCUCUACUGGACCACAACUGACACUCAGGGACGAAAGCUAGGGGAGCGAAUGGG